CUCUUUCAGUAUUGAUGGGCGUCGUUGGUUCGAUCCCGAAAAUUUAUCAUCUGCGGUGGUAUUAAUUAUCGCGUUCAAAUUCCCAGCGGAGAUCCCGUGACCUGGACAGGAUGCAAUUGCUUCUCCUUCGAACGAAGGAGGAACAGGAAUUGAAGUUCUCAUUAGACGGGAUAAUUAUGGGUCACAUAAGAACAAGUGUAUUUGUUUCAGAGUUUUUCUCUCUCGAAAUCCGAUAGACGGAGACCAGCCGACGGUGUAGAAGGAACAACAGCAUAGCGUGCACCACGUCAUGGACGGAUGAGUGCCCAAUGCCAUGGCAUAAAAAACAACGUGGUGAUGAUUUGUGGCCACCAUCAACCGUCCGACAAUCCAAUCCCUAGUCAAAGGACUGUAUGGGACAGAAAAAGGGAAUAAUAACUAUCACCCCGCCUGCGAUGGUAUUUUUGGUUUACGCAGCGAGUCCCUUUCUGUCGUAUAACCAGAAAUUUCCGCGUCCUAAAUUAGUUUCGACCAACGACCUCAUGGGGCUCCACAGGUCGUAGGGAUAACAGACAGCCAUGGAGGAAAAGCGUGAUGAAAAUCAUGCGGGAGCUGAGGAGAGUAUGGACUACCAACCGGACAGGACAGAUCCGUGGGCCGGGCCGCAUAUUUGCUUUUCGAUUUUCUUUUUCAGGCUUGCCGCCGGGAGGGGACGCAAAAUAACUGGGCCGGCCCAGUGUUUCAAGGAUAUUAUCGAAUAAUGGAGAAAAACUCGGAAACACCAUGCGAAGCUGUGCUGGUUUGAUAUGGCUGUUGUCAUAGGGCCAAAGAGAGCGAUUUCAUAGGAAGGGGUGAAGAAGGGAUGCAGAAUUCUCAUUGGAAAUGACCAACUCUUAUAUCAUGGACAGCAGAAAAGUGGCAGGGUGUGAAACAAGAAUUAACAACAAAUGGGAUGUUUGGUGAGUUAGGAUGGCUAAGCAAACAACUGUUUUUUUAAGAACCAAAAAAAUAAAAAAGGCAU
rnacentral:sRNA from 1 species